UACGGGGGGGGGCAAGCGUUGUUCGGAAUUACUGGGCGUAAAGGGCCAGUAGGCGGCCAACUAAGUCGGAUGUGAAAUCCCCAGGCUCAACCUGGGAACUGCAUCCGAUACUGGAUGGCUUGAAUUCGGGAGAGGGAUGCAGAAUUCCAGGUGUAGCGGUGAAAUGCGUAGAUAUCUGGAGGAAUACCGGUGGCGAAGGCGGCAUCCUGGACCGACAUUGACGCUGAACGGCGAAAGCUAGGGGAGCAAACGGG
rnacentral:rRNA from 1 species